UACGAAGGGGGCUAGCGUUGUUCGGAAUUACUGGGCGUAAAGCGCGCGUAGGCGGUUUUGCAAGCCAGAGGUGAAAUGCCUGAGCUUAACUUAGGAAUUGCCUUUGGGACUGCGAGGCUUUGAGGACGGGAGAGGUGAGUGGAAUUCCCAGUGUAGAGGUGAAAUGCGUAGAGAUCGGGAGGAAGGCCGGUGGCGAAGGCGGCGCUCUGGAACGUUUCUGACGCUGAGGCUCGAAA
rnacentral:rRNA from 1 species